CCCUUAGAAGUUCUGGGCUACACGCGUGUUACACUGAUAUGUUCAACAAGUUAAAAUAUUCCUUGCCCGACGGGGCUGGGUAAUCUUUUAAAAGCAUGUCGUGAUGGGGAUAGAGCAUUGUAAUUAUUGCUCUUGGACGAGGAAUUCCUAGUAAGUGCAAGUCAUUAACUUGCGUUGAUUACGUCCCUGCCCUUUGUACACACCGCCCGUCGCUCCUACCGAUUGAAUGUGUUGGUGAGGAGCUCGGAUUGGCAGCAGUUGGUGGUUCGCCACCGGCUAUUGCUGAGAAGUCCUCCAAACCGCCCCAUUUAGAGGAAGGAGAAGUCGUAACA
rnacentral:rRNA from 1 species